rnacentral:rRNA from 1 species
GACGUAGGGUCCAAGCGUUGUCCGGAUUUACUGGGCGUAAAGAGCGCGUAGGCGGUCUGUUAAGUGCACGAGUGAAAUCCCGGGGCUCACCUCCGGAACUGCUCUGCAUACUGGCAGACUUGAGGGUCGGAGAGGUUUGUGGAAUUCCUGGUGUAGCGGUGAAAUGCGUUGAUAUCUGGAGGAACACCGGUGGCGAAGGCGGACUCCUGGACCGGUAUGACGCUGAGGCGCGAAAGCUAGGGGAGCAAACGGGG